GGGUACAGCUCAGUGGUAGAGCACAUGCUUAGUAUGCACGAGGUCCUUGGUUCAAUCCCUGGUACCUCCA
rnacentral:tRNA from 1 species